GCUAGGUUAACCAUUGUGAACAUAGUCACGAAUGUUAUUGUUAGUAUAGAACCGACGCAUUGAUGGCGCUAGUGUUCAUUAUAUCGUUACCAACUUCAGGGGCGACUUAGGAAAGCUUUGUUUUGUUGACAAUGACAGUUUGUUGGUGUAAGUUGAUGUUUAAGAAUUUUGUAAGUUUUCGGUGUUUUUUAAGUAAUUUGUUACUAUGUAUUUUAUUAAGGAUGUUAUUUUCCGAAGUUUUACCUAUGGUACAUCUUUUUUAAUAGAAAAUUAGUGGAAGGAAUUACGCUACGGAUGAAUGCAGAGAACGGUGUGGAACUUUUUACCGAUUUCCAAACCCAAAACUAUCCACAAAUAUUUCAAAGGUCAAUUGAACUAAGUGGAUGGGAAGAAUUGUGGCAAUAUGAAGACAUGAGAAUUUACAGAAAUGUUCAUGGUGGAAAGCAUUUCUCUAAGGAACAUGUUGGAUGGAAUAGUAAUAAGGAAUAAUAGUAUGUUCUAGUUUUGCCGAUGGUAUGAUAAGAGAUUAUGAGUUUAUAUAUAUAUUUUAUAUAUUAUAAACAUUAUACAUAGGUCUGUACCUACAGGCUUAUACAUGCAUGUUAUAUAUUAUAUAUAAUGAAAUAAAUGUUAUAAUAUAAUAAUAUACCAUAAUUAUAAUACUUAUUAUACUUAUAACUUUUUAUUUAUUUAAUUUCUGUGUUAGUUAAAAUACCAUAGUAACAUAUUGUAAGCAAUUUUGUUGGAUCUUUAUAUAUACAGCAAUUAACCUUUGUGUAACAUCAAAUCAAUGUUAAAAUUUUAAUAUGACUGUUGUAACAAUUGUACUUAUACAUUAAAUUUUUAUUUUAUGAACGUUUUAGGAUGAACCGAUAGUCAGAAUGUGAUAAAGGUUUCAAAUUGGAAACGAAUUAGGAAAAAUAACAAAAAAAUAAAAUAAGAGUAUUGAAUACUGUUAAUACUAAUAAUAAACGUCUUUAUUCAACAUAAAUUAUAAUGCAAAAUAGAACAUAAAGUGUCUAUUCCAAAUUACAGUGCACAUAUCUGAAUUAAUGUGAAUUUUUCUGAUAUUGUUAACAUUUCCAACUAUUGUAAUUGUAAAUUUCAAUUAUUUUAUUUAUUAUUAUUUCUGUUUAAAACUUUAUAACUAGAAAACUUUUUCUUUAUUAUCUAAGAUUGAUUUAUUGUCUAAGUUUUAAGUUUUUUACUGUUCAAAACUGUACUUUUGUUUUACAACAUUCAAUAUUUAAAUAAAAUUUUUAAGUAUA